AUGGACUUGAGACUCAGCUGUGCUUUAAUUGUUUUUCUUUUAAAAGGGGUCCAGAGUGAGGUGAAGCUGGAGGAGUCUGGUGGAGGCUUGGUGCAACCUGGAAGGUCCAUGAAACUCUCUUGUGUUACCUCUGGAUUUACUUUCACUAACUACUGGAUGCAAUGGGUUCGCCAGUCUCCAGAGAAGGGGCUGGAGUGGGUUGCUGAAAUUAGAUUGAAAUCUAAUAAUUAUGCAACAUAUUAUGUUGAGUCUGUGAAAGGGAGGUUCACCAUCUCAAGAGAUGAUUCGAAAAGUAGUGUCUACCUGCAAAUGAACAACUUAAGGGCUGAAGACACUGGAAUUUAUUACUGCACAGGCACAGUGAGAAGUCUUCAUUGUGAGUCUAGACACAAACUUACCUGCAGGAGCUCUCAGUACCAGCAGGGGGAGCACAGUGGACAUCGAAUCCAUAAACAGGGGCUAUUAUUUAUAGGGAUCUGGGCAGGUGAGACCACUUUCUCAGUAUUCUCUUUCCUUCCUCCACCAUCUGGAGUGGGCAUCAUGUAA